rnacentral:rRNA from 1 species
UACGUAGGGGGCAAGCGUUGUCCGGAUUUAUUGGGCGUAAAGAGCGUGUAGGCGGCCAGACAGGUCAGCUGUGAAAACUCGAGGCUCAACCUCGAGACGUCGGUUGAAACCGUCUGGCUAGAGUCCGGAAGAGGAGAGUGGAAUUCCCGGUGUAGCGGUGAAAUGCGCAGAUAUCGGGAAGAACACCCGUGGCGAAGGCGGCUACUCGUCGGGACGGUACUGACGCUGAGACGCGAAAGCGUGGGGAGCGAACAGGA